AUUCUUAAUGCAACUGAAUCACUGUGAUCAGUCAAAAAUAAUCAACACCAGUACCACAUCCACACAUCUAUAAUGAUGGAAGACCUAUGGACUUAAUAUUUAUGAAAAAAUUUAGAUUUAAGUCUUAUCUAAUCAGUCAUUAUAUGAUCGAUCUAAUUAGCAUGGACUAAACUAAACUGCCAAGCAACCUUAUUCAAGUCUCAAUCUUUCAAAUUGAUCAGGUAAGUGG
rnacentral:lncRNA from 1 species